rnacentral:rRNA from 1 species
GACGAACGCUGGCGGCGUGCUUAACACAUGCAAGUCGAACGGAAAGGCCCUGCUUUUGUGGGGUGCUCGAGUGGCGAACGGGUGAGUAACACGUGAGUAACCUGCCCUUGACUUUGGGAUAACUUCAGGAAACUGGGGCUAAUACCGGAUCGGAGCUCCUGCUGCAUGGAGGGGGUUGGAAAGUUUCGGCGGUUGGGGAUGGACUAGCGGCUUAUCAGCUUGUUGGUGGGGUAGUGGCUUACCAAGGGUUUGACGGGUAGCCGGCCUGAGAGGGUGACCGGCCACAUUGGUACUGAGAUACGGCCCAGACGCCUACGGGAGGCAGCAGUGGGGAAUAUUGCACAAUGGGCGGAAGCCUGAUGCAGCAACGCCGCGUGCGGGAUGACGGCCUUCUGGUUGUGAACCGCUUUCGCCUGUGACGAAGCGUUAGUGACGGUAAUGGGUAAAGAAGCACCGGCUAACUACGUG